rnacentral:rRNA from 1 species
CAGCAGCCACGGUAAUACGGAGGAUCCGAGCGUUAUCCGGAAUUAUUGGGUUUAAAGGGUGCGUAGGCGGAUAGAUAAGUCAGUGGUGAAAGACGGUGGCUCAACCAUCGCAGUGCCGUUGAUACUGUUUAUCUUGAAUAUGGAUGAGGUAGGCGGAAUGUGGCAAGUAGCGGUGAAAUGCAUAGAUAUGCCACAGAACACCGAUUGCGAAGGCAGCUUACCAAGGCAAAAUUGACGCUGAGGUGCGAAAGCGUGGGGAGCAAACAGGAUUAGAUACCCCCGUAGUCCCUGUCUCUUAUAC